UUACUUCGUAGAUUCGUCUGUGAGGAUUCGCGCGUCGUCWCGGUCUUCGGAGUGCGUGCACUUCUCCCUUAGUAAAACACUGCGACCCGUUGAGCGAUCGGUCGAACGCACCUGCGAUUGUCCCGUCUUCUCCGGGAGACGGAGUCGCGCGGUGUCGUGGCUGAUUUUCGACGGUAACGAACGAGGUUCGCGUCCGCCUUUAGGCGUUCACGACGCGGCGGCGUCGCUCCCCUUCAAGUCUUCUGCGCGUAAGCGUCGUAAGUAUUUGAUGCGGUUGACGGAGGCGGUUUUAAUAUCGUYUCCGUCGCGAGUGGCGCGUCCGCUGCGUCGCUCGAACGGGACGCGUCCCGGUCAGCGGUGGUUUUGUUUCGGGCACUCACAGGACCCGUCUUGAAAC
rnacentral:rRNA from 1 species